AUGAAUGAGUUCUUCUCUCUCAAAGCGGAUUUAAACAGGUUAAAUAAAGCUUUUAUUGUUCUCCUCCCUAAAAAAGUAGGCGCUACACACCCGGACAACUUUCGCCCUGUGUCUCUCCAAAAUUGCAGCAUCAAGCUAGCCUCCAAGUGUCUCGUUAAUAGAAUCCAACCUCACUGCCCUUCUCUUGUUCACUUUGACCAAUCUGGUUUUAUUAAGGGUCGUAGCAUUGCUGAGAAUUUUAUUUAUGCAGCUGAGAUCGUCCAAUUCUGCCAUCGUCGUAAGGCUCCCGCUUUCGUUUUGAAACUUGACUUCCGCAAGGCUUUUGACUCUAUUUCGUGGGACGCGCUUAAUCAAGUGCUGGCUGCUAAAGGUUUUCCCCAAAAAUGGAUCGAUUGGCUCACUAGUCUAAACCUCUCUAGUCAAUCAGCCGUUCUGCUCAACGGGAUGCCUGGUCCGUGGAUCCAAUGUCGCAAGGGGUUACGCCAAGGUGAUCCUAUAUCGCCUUUUCUUUUCAUCUUGGUCGCAGAUGUGUUACAACGGCUUAUUAUCAAUGCUUGCAAUGAUGGUCUUUUGUCUCAUCCGCUUGUCGAGCACCUACCUUGCCCUGUCAUUCAAUACGCCGAUGAUACUCUUAUUAUUUGCAAGGCCAAUUCCACUGCUGCUCAAAACCUCAUAUCGACUCUUCAAGUGUUUUCCGCUUCAACGGGCCUACACAUCAACUUUGAUAAAAGUACUUUCGUGCCUAUUCAUGUCGAACACGAUCUGGCAACCCUUUCAGCCAGUAUACUGGGUGCUCCAUCUCCUCCUUCCCUCAAACUUAUUUAG
rnacentral:rRNA from 1 species